GCAAACUUGGUCAUUUAGAGGAAGUAAAAGUCGUAACAAGGUUUCCGUAGGUGAACCUGCGGAAGGAUCAUUACUGAAUGUUGCCUUGAUGAGUUGUUGCUGGCUCUGAAAACCAGAGCAGGUGCACACUUGUCUUGGACUUCUAUUCAUCCACCUGUGCACCUUUUGUAGUCUUUUUGGGGGCUGGGGAAAUGGCAGCUCAGGCUGUUGCUGAACCUCCCACUGGGGACUAUGUUUUUAUCCAUAUACCAUUUAGAAUGUAACAGAAUGUUGUCAAUGGGCACUUGUGCCUAUAUAAAAUCUAUACAACUUUCAGCAACGGAUCUCUUGGCUCUCGCAUCGAUGAAGAACGCAGC
rnacentral:misc_RNA from 1 species